rnacentral:ncRNA from 1 species
AAAGAAAAAGAAUUUUCACUUAAAAAUUUAUUAUAAAUUUGUUUUACAUAUAAAUUUUUUAGUUAGUUUUAAAAAAAAUUUUAAAAAUUAAAAAAAUUAUUUAUAGUAUUUAAUUUUGAAUAUUUAAGAAAUUAAGAUUUAGUAAUAUUAGAAUUAUUAACUAAUUUUGUGCCAGCAGUUGCGGUUAUACAAUAAAUAAGUUAAAUUUUAUUAGUAAUUAAUUAAUAAAUUAAUAUAAUUAUUAUAAAUUUAUUAUUAUUAAGUAAAAUUUUAAUUUUUUAAAAUAUAAUUAAUAUUUAAUUAUGAUUUAAUAAAUUUUAUUUUAAACUAGGAUUAGAUACCCUAUUAUUAAAAAAUUAAAAUUUUAAACUAAAAUAGUAAAUUGGUUUUAAAACUUAAAAAAAUUGGCGGUAUUUUAGUUUAUUUAGAGGAAUCUGUUUAUUAAUUGAUAUUCCACGAAUAAAUUUACUUAAUUUAAAGUUUAUAUAUCGUCGUUAAAAAAAUAUUUUAUAAAAAUAAAAAUAUUUAAAAAUUUAAAUAAAAAAUUAAAUCAGAUCAAGAUGUAAUUUAUGUUUAAGAAUAUAAUGGAUUACAAUGAAAAUAUUUAUAAUGAAUUAUAAUUUGUAAUAAUUAUAUGAAAUUGGAUUUAAAUGUAAUUAUAUUUAAUUUAAUUUAAUGAUUUAAUAUUAAAAUAUGUACAUAUUGCCCGUCGCUCUCAUUUUAAAAUUGAGAUAAGUCGUAACAAAGUAGAGGUACUGGAAAGUGUUUCUAGAAAGAGU